AACAUCACUUUGCAUUUGCAGCACAUGCUUCAAUGUUUUAAAGAGUGCUUUGAAAGAGUUUAACACAGAGCAAUAUCUUCAUCACAGAAAAACAAUGACUUUCAUCAUUAUUUUAUCUCGAUGCUUGCAGUAUUUUGUCAGGAGUGCAAAGGACAGGUCACCAUCACUCAGACACCGUCAAUAACAACAGCCCAACCAGGACAAGAAGUAAGAAUAAACUGCAAAGCCAACAGGCCGGUGCAUCUUAACGACCGUAUCGCUUGGUACUUCAGGGGAUUUGGAGAAGCUCCUAAACUAGUCAUUUACCAGGCCACGAAUCGUUUCACUGGAGCUCCAUCUAGAUUCACAGGAAGUGGACAUGGAGCAGACUUCACUCUGACCAUCAGUGGAGUCCAGCCCGAAGACGCAGGACAUUAUUUCUGUCAGAGCGACCACACUGGUGCAAUAAUCACACAGUGAUAAAGAGCCGUACAAAAACCUCCGUCACACUGCACUGAUACAGCUGAGAGACACUGCAGCUGCUCAUCCUGUACAUCACACACAUGCCACAAAACUAGACACAUUCACCUACCCGAAAAAGGACCAUUCAGACAACUUCAAAUGCAACAGAAUUCUAACAGAAAAUC